GAUGAACGCUAGCGGAAGGCAUAAUACAUGCAAGUCGAACGGAUGUAGCAAUACAUUAGUGGCGCACGGGUGCGUAACGCGUAUGCAACCUACCUUCAUCAGGGGGAUAACUACUCGAAAGGGUGGCUAACACCGCAUAAUACUACUGAAUGGCAUCAUUUGGUAUUUAAAUCUGAGGAGGAUGAAGUUGGGCAUGCGUCUGAUUAGCUAGUUGGUGUGGUAACGGCGCACCAAGGCGACGAUCAGUAGGGGAACUGAGAGGUUGGUCCCCCACACUGGCACUGAGAUACGGGCCAGACUCCUACGGGAGGCAGCAGUAGGGAAUAUUGGUCAAUGGUGGGAACACUGAACCAGCCAUUCCGCGUGCAGGAAGAAGGGACUCUGACUUGUAAACUGCUUUAGCAAGGGAAGAAAAAGCUCAAGCGUGAGAAAUUGACGGUACCUUGAGAAUAAGCACCGGCUAACUACGUGCCAGCAGCCGCCGCGG
rnacentral:rRNA from 1 species